rnacentral:ncRNA from 1 species
AAACUCACCCGGCCCGGACACUGGAAGGAUUGACAGAUUGACAGCUCUUUCUUGAUUCAGUGGGUAGUGGUGCAUGGCCGUUCUUAGUUGGUGGAGCGAUUUGUCUGGUUAAUUCCGAUAACGAACGAGACUCUACCCUAUUAAAUAGUGACAGUAUUGUAUUUUUUGUGCUGAUCACUUCUUAGAGGGACUGGCAAAUUGA